rnacentral:rRNA from 1 species
GGAGGCGCCCAAAGGUUCCCUCAGAAUGGUUGGAAAUCAUUCGCAGAGUGUAAAGGCACAAGGGAGCUUGACUGCGAGACCUACAAGUCGAGCAGGGACGAAAGUCGGGCUUAGUGAUCCGGUGGUGCCGCAUGGAAGGGCCAUCGCUCAACGGAUAAAAGCUACCCCGGGGAUAACAGGCUUAUCUCCCCCAAGAGUCCACAUCGACGGGGAGGUUUGGCACCUCGAUGUCGGCUCAUCGCAUCCUGGGGCUGUAGUCGGUCCCAAGGGUUGGGCUGUUCGCCCAUUAAAGCGGUACGCG